rnacentral:rRNA from 1 species
UACGGAGGGAGCUAGCGUUGUUCGGAAUUACUGGGCGUAAAGCGCACGUAGGCGGCUUUGUAAGUUAGAGGUGAAAGCCCGGGGCUCAACCCCGGAAUUGCCUUUAAGACUGCAUCGCUUGAAUCCAGGAGAGGUGAGUGGAAUUCCGAGUGUAGAGGUGAAAUUCGUAGAUAUUCGGAAGAACACCAGUGGCGAAGGCGGUUCACUGGACUGGUAUUGACGCUGAGACGCGAAAGCGUGGGGAGCGAACAGG